UCAUCAAUAAUUUAUUGCAUAAAUUACGAAAAUAGCCUCUUAAUUUUAGUUAAAUUUCACUUAUAUCCUCUAGAUUUUAAAAAAUAUCGAACUAGUUUUUCAAAUUUUCAAGAUGUUCUAAUAUGGUCCUACUAUGUACUUGCUAAUAAAUGGCGUUAGUUUUUUAUUUCAAUAGAUGAAAAUUUCUUUACUCAUAUUGGAUGGAUUAUCAGUAAGAAAGGAAUGGAGAGGGAGGGAGUUACUGUGGAGGGAGAGAGUGGGAUCAUAGAGUUAGCGUGGAGGAAAAAAAGAGGUUCGAAAGAAGAGGAGGAGAA
rnacentral:lncRNA from 1 species